GGGUUGUGAGGUUAAGCGACUAAGCGUACACGGUGGAUGCCCUGGCAGUCAGAGGCGAUGAAGGACGUGCUAAUCUGCGAUAAGCGUCGGUAAGGUGAUAUGAACCGUUAUAACCGGCGAUUUCCGAAUGGGGAAACCCAGUGUGAUUCGUCACACUAUCAUUAACUGAAUCCAUAGGUUAAUGAGGCGAACCGGGGGAACUGAAACAUCUAAGUACCCCGAGGAAAAGAAAUCAACCGAGAUUCCCCCAGUAGCGGCGAGCGAACGGGGAGCAGCCCAGAGCCUGAAUCAGUGUGUGUGUUAGUGGAAGCGUCUGGAAAGGCGCGCGAUACAGGGUGACAGCCCCGUACACAAAAAUGCACAUGCUGUGAGCUCGAUGAGUAGGGCGGGACACGUGGUAUCCUGUCUGAAUAUGGGGGGACCAUCCUCCAAGGCUAAAUACUCCUGACUGACCGAUAGUGAACCAGUACCGUGAGGGAAAGGCGAAAAGAACCCCGGCGAGGGGAGUGAAAAAGAACCUGAAACCGUGUACGUACAAGCAGUGGGAGCACAGAGCAAUCUGUGUGACUGCGUACCUUUUGUAUAAUGGGUCAGCGACUUAUAUUCUGUAGCAAGGUUAACCGAAUAGGGGAGCCGAAGGGAAACCGAGUCUUAACUGGGCGUUAAGUUGCAGGGUAUAGACCCGAAACCCGGUGAUCUAGCCAUGGGCAGGUUGAAGGUUGGGUAACACUAACUGGAGGACCGAACCGACUAAUGUUGAAAAAUUAGCGGAUGACUUGUGGCUGGGGGUGAAAGGCCAAUCAAACCGGGAGAUAGCUGGUUCUCCCCGAAAGCUAUUUAGGUAGCGCCUCGUGAAUUCAUCUCCGGGGGUAGAGCACUGUUUCGGCAAGGGGGUCAUCCCGACUUACCAACCCGAUGCAAACUGCGAAUACCGGAGAAUGUUAUCACGGGAGACACACGGCGGGUGCUAACGUCCGUCGUGAAGAGGGAAACAACCCAGACCGCCAGCUAAGGUCCCAAAGUCAUGGUUAAGUGGGAAACGAUGUGGGAAGGCCCAGACAGCCAGGAUGUUGGCUUAGAAGCAGCCAUCAUUUAAAGAAAGCGUAAUAGCUCACUGGUCGAGUCGGCCUGCGCGGAAGAUGUAACGGGGCUAAACCAUGCACCGAAGCUGCGGCAGCGACGCUGAUGCGUUGUUGGGUAGGGGAGCGUUCUGUAAGCCUGCGAAGGUGUGCUGUGAGGCAUGCUGGAGGUAUCAGAAGUGCGAAUGCUGACAUAAGUAACGAUAAAGCGGGUGAAAAGCCCGCUCGCCGGAAGACCAAGGGUUCCUGUCCAACGUUAAUCGGGGCAGGGUGAGUCGACCCCUAAGGCGAGGCCGAAAGGCGUAGUCGAUGGGAAACAGGUUAAUAUUCCUGUACUUGGUGUUACUGCGAAGGGGGGACGGAGAAGGCUAUGUUGGCCGGGCGACGGUUGUCCCGGUUUAAGCGUGUAGGCUGGUUUUCCAGGCAAAUCCGGAAAAUCAAGGCUGAGGCGUGAUGACGAGGCACUACGGUGCUGAAGCAACAAAUGCCCUGCUUCCAGGAAAAGCCUCUAAGCAUCAGGUAACAUCAAAUCGUACCCCAAACCGACACAGGUGGUCAGGUAGAGAAUACCAAGGCGCUUGAGAGAACUCGGGUGAAGGAACUAGGCAAAAUGGUGCCGUAACUUCGGGAGAAGGCACGCUGAUACGUAGGUGAAGUCCCUCGCGGAUGGAGCUGAAAUCAGUCGAAGAUACCAGCUGGCUGCAACUGUUUAUUAAAAACACAGCACUGUGCAAACACGAAAGUGGACGUAUACGGUGUGACGCCUGCCCGGUGCCGGAAGGUUAAUUGAUGGGGUCAGCGCAAGCGAAGCUCUUGAUCGAAGCCCCGGUAAACGGCGGCCGUAACUAUAACGGUCCUAAGGUAGCGAAAUUCCUUGUCGGGUAAGUUCCGACCUGCACGAAUGGCGUAAUGAUGGCCAGGCUGUCUCCACCCGAGACUCAGUGAAAUUGAACUCGCUGUGAAGAUGCAGUGUACCCGCGGCAAGACGGAAAGACCCCGUGAACCUUUACUAUAGCUUGACACUGAACAUUGAGCCUUGAUGUGUAGGAUAGGUGGGAGGCUUUGAAGUGUGGACGCCAGUCUGCAUGGAGCCGACCUUGAAAUACCACCCUUUAAUGUUUGAUGUUCUAACGUUGACCCGUAAUCCGGGUUGCGGACAGUGUCUGGUGGGUAGUUUGACUGGGGCGGUCUCCUCCUAAAGAGUAACGGAGGAGCACGAAGGUUGGCUAAUCCUGGUCGGACAUCAGGAGGUUAGUGCAAUGGCAUAAGCCAGCUUGACUGCGAGCGUGACGGCGCGAGCAGGUGCGAAAGCAGGUCAUAGUGAUCCGGUGGUUCUGAAUGGAAGGGCCAUCGCUCAACGGAUAAAAGGUACUCCGGGGAUAACAGGCUGAUACCGCCCAAGAGUUCAUAUCGACGGCGGUGUUUGGCACCUCGAUGUCGGCUCAUCACAUCCUGGGGCUGAAGUAGGUCCCAAGGGUAUGGCUGUUCGCCAUUUAAAGUGGUACGCGAGCUGGGUUUAGAACGUCGUGAGACAGUUCGGUCCCUAUCUGCCGUGGGCGCUGGAGAACUGAGGGGGGCUGCUCCUAGUACGAGAGGACCGGAGUGGACGCAUCACUGGUGUUCGGGUUGUCAUGCCAAUGGCACUGCCCGGUAGCUAAAUGCGGAAGAGAUAAGUGCUGAAAGCAUCUAAGCACGAAACUUGCCCCGAGAUGAGUUCUCCCUGACUCCUUGAGAGUCCUGAAGGAACGUUGAAGACGACGACGUUGAUAGGCCGGGUGUGUAAGCGCAGCGAUGCGUUGAGCUAACCGGUACUAAUGAACCGUGAGGCUUAACCUUACAACGCCGAAG
rnacentral:rRNA from 1 species